AUGUUAAUCCGGAAAUUUUGGUGGGGGGGUAAGGAAGGGAAGCGCAAACCCCAUUGGGUUUCUUGGAAAACCAUGACCCAACCAAAAGGCAUGGGCGGGUUAGGCUUCAAGGAUUUCGAGCUUUUUAACUUGGCAAUGCUAGCCAAGUAGGCAUGGAGGUUGCUGCAAGAUCCGGACUCUGUAAGCAUGCACAUUUUGAAAAGCAUAUACUACCCAAACUGUUCGAUUUUGGAAGCUACAUUGGGGAACCACCCAAGUCAAAUUUGGAGGGCCAUAGUGGAGGGACGAGACACUCUGAAGGUUGGCCUGAUUAAGCGCAAUUGUAACGGAGAAACGACAAAGAUUUGGGAAGAUAGCUGGUUUCCUAGAGAGGAGAUGAUGAAACCGUAUGGGUGUAUUAUUCAAAACCCUCCGCUGCUAGCGUCUGAGCUCAUAGACAGCACGUCAGCAAGCUGGGUUAGAGAGAAGGUGGAGGCCGUGUUCAUGCCUAUGGAUACUCAAGUCAUUCUACGCAUCCCCCUAUGCACACGUAAUAUCCCAGACUUUUGGAGUUGGCACUAUGAAAAGAAUGGUCUCUUCUUGGUCCGUUCGGCAUAUCGAAUGCUUGUUGCUACCAGAUUAAGAAGAGAGGUGUGGCUUGAAAAUACUAAAGGAUCUUCAAGCUCGGUGGCGGAGGAGAAAUCUUGGAAGAAUUUGUGGAAAACUUGA
rnacentral:rRNA from 1 species